UACGUAGGGGGCGAGCGUUGUCCGGAUUUAUUGGGCGUAAAGAGCGUGUAGGCGGCCUGGUAGGUCUGCUGUGAAAACUCGAGGCUCAACCUCGAGAUGUCGGCGGAAACCAUCUGGCUAGAGUCCGGAAGAGGAGAGUGGAAUUCCUGGUGUAGCGGUGAAAUGCGCAGAUAUCAGGAAGAACACCUAUGGCGAAGGCAGCUCUCUGGGACGGUACUGACGCUGAGACGCGAAAAGCGUGGGGAGCGAACAGG
rnacentral:rRNA from 1 species